rnacentral:tRNA from 1 species
GGAGGAUGGUAUGGUAAGCUGUUUAGGUAAAUCAUAAGGGAACUGGGUUUGAGAUCAAACAUAAUAUGUAAAAAACUAUGGCGCGUUUGACUGGCAGUCAAAAGGUCACGGGUUCGAAUCCCGUAUUCUCCA